rnacentral:lncRNA from 1 species
AAAUUUUGUUAGACAUUCGUUGCAAAAUUUUUGACCACUUGAUUUUCGUCAUCGUGGGCAAAGAAAAUUUUUUUGUUGCUAAAAAUGGGGUUUUAGCAACGAUUUUUCAGGUAACGACUUUAUAAGUCGUUGCUAAAAGUGUAUGUUUAGCAACAAAACUCGUCUUUCGUUGCAGAUUGUGUCAGACUUUCACUUUUUGCAACGAAAUUCAUAAAUAGUUGCAAAAUUUAGAAACAAAAUUCGUUAGAAAUUCGUUGUAAAAUUUUUAACCACUUGAUUUCUCUUCAUCGUGGACAACGAAAGUUUUUUUGUUGCUAUAUUUCGUUGCCUAAUAUGGACCACAUUCAUUGGCAACAAUUUUUAUUUUCGUUGCAUAUUUUAUACAAUUUUUUGCUAGGAGUGAUCAUUCGGUUAUAACCGAACCGAAUAAGCUAUUCGAUUAUAACCGAAAAUCAAAUUAUUGCUAUUUCUACUAUCCGAACUACUAACCGAAAUUUAAAAAUAACCGAAUACCGAAUUACCGAAUAGUAAUUUCGGAUAUUCGAGUAAAAAUCGAACCCAACUUAACUAUGGGACCUUUCCCCUUUCUAAAUCAAGUCUAUGUACAAAUUACAAAAUGAUACUAGAUCAGUUGCAUAUCCAUCAUAUUCCUUCAUUCUCAUUAGUUAACCUAAAGUGUAAAUGGUAAUACUAUUUUAAAAGCUACUGAAUUACUAGGAUUAUGAGAUUAUCCUCCAACAGUGUCGGUUAAUUGAGGACAACCCUCUGAUACUUGGCAUCUGUGUACCGUGUACGAAUCAGAGCCUUCAGAUCUGUGGUGAUGGGACGGCCGCCACUGAGGAAGAUGUCCAGCCAGAAGAAGGGUCUGAGGUCCAGCCAAAAGGUGAGACGGCACGAGUACGCGACAGACAGUGAAAACCGAGAGGUGGAGGCCGGAGCAGAGAUUGAGUCGGAGAGAGGCGGAGGCCGGAGCAGAGAUUGAACGGAGAGAGGCGGAGGCCGGAGAUGAGCAAGAAGAGAGGUAGUCAAGUAGAUCUAGGAAUUGGGAUUGGGACUUGGGAGCGACGACUGCUACUUGUUAGGGCAAUAAUAUAGUAUAUUAUAUUAUUUAGUAAACUGCUAGGCAAGAAUAGCUGGCUCCAAUAUUUAGUAUAGUAUGUACAUAUAUAUUAGUAUAUUAUUUAGUAUAGUAUUAGCACGUAUAUAUAUAUAUAUAUAUAUAUAUAUAUAUAUAUAUAUAUAUAUAUAU